rnacentral:lncRNA from 1 species
GUGAGACCUUUGGAAAGUGUGUCCCGGGGUUCUGCUCUUCUGAAGAGAUUAGUGCUGCUCUCCGGGGACCGGAUUGAGGGUUGAUUCUCGCCAUGUGAAGCUGAUGAGCUCCUGAGAGAGUUGUUGGACGUUCAGGUCGAGCUGGGCACCCGCCUUCCCUUCUAGGAGGCUGUGGGAGCCUCGCCGGACACUGUCACCGUGCCGGGACCCCGCCCGCAGAACCGCGAACUGACAGAAUUUAUUUUCUUUAUGUAUUGUAUAUCCGUUUCCGGUACCUUGAUACAGAUACAUGAAACAUCCUAAGGCUCAUCGAAUCAAGACGUAUUUUGAGGGUAAAGAUCACUGAGAUGAAACUUAGAAACCUGUCAUACAGAGUUAGUGACGCUUCUCCCCACUGCCCUGCUCCUGAAAGUACUGAGGCACAGCACACCCACCUGCACAUCAGACCCCAGGGCCUGCCCAAGAUUGCAUCAUCCCCAUCACAUCCCAGAUUGCUCGGCAGCGUUCACGUGUGGUUCUCAACUUGCUCUCCAUGCAAAUACCUGUGUCUCCUCAAAUUGCUAAUGGCACUUUUUAGACGAGUGUUUUAUGGCCAUUCUCAAUGGCACAAGAGCUCUACACAGCCAGAAAGCACAGGGUCCGAUCCAGCAGGGAUGAGGAGAAUAACCAGGCUGGGUGGAUGAGCGCUUGUAAAAACACUCAGCAGCGGCUCUUUUUCUUUCUUGCAGGGUUAAUGGUAAAAUUCUAAAAUCUGAAAAUGUUCUUGAUUUCACUACAGAUAUCUUUAAUAUUAAGCCUGCGUAGCAGUCUAAUCAGUUUAUGGCAAGUCAUGCUUCAUAACUCACGGCCUGGGAAGGCUGCAGCAGUGGGCUAAAUGCUCCUGAAUUCAGACAAUUUAAUGUAAAAAUUCAGGAAGGUUUUGCUGAAGCAAUAAUGGGCAUGAUCAAUAGAGAAAAAGCCAAGAAAGCAGAUAAAUACAUUACCCGUGACCCUAGAUAAGAUUUGCUCGUGCAGUACCCUUCCCUUUCCCCUAAACCUUUCUCAGUCCCGUAAGCUGGGAUCCAGCAGGACAGCUCUCCUUCACCGUGCUCGCAGAUCCCUGAGUUCGCAGGCAUUGGCCAUCUUGUGGACUGCAGGAGAGACUCAUGUGCCGGGCAUGUGGACAAAAGGGGCGAUGAUUCUGUGCUGCGUACAGAGGUGAAAUAUCCAUAUAAGCCCAUGAACGGAUGACGGGAGUCCGUUCCAGAUAUCAUUAAGAGCGGGCCAUUAAACAAAGCCACCUGCAUGGGAGGUGCUUCAAAAUCCUCGACUGGGCUGCUGCCUCCAACUUUGAAUUGGGAUGAGCUGCGCUGUGCUUCUGUUGAUCAAGAUUUCCCCAAAUGGAAACUUGUAUGUGAAGAUGAAUAAAAACACUGUGGAAUGUAUGGAAUACACAAACUGGACAUAUUAGUCCAGAGGUGCAGUGACUUAAGUUGUUUUCUUUCACGAUUUGUUUUCAGUGUUUCUCAGGGAGC